rnacentral:rRNA from 1 species
CCAUAUUGUUGCUUCGGCGGGACCGCCCCGGCGCCUUCGGGCCCGGAACCAGGCGCCCGCCGGAGGCCCCAAACUCUUAUGUCUUUAGUGGUUUUCUCCUCUGAGUGACACAUAAACAAAUAAAUAAAAACUUUCAACAACGGAUCUCUUGGUUCUGGCAUCGAUGAAGAACGCAGCGAAAUGCGAUAAGUAAUGUGAAUUGCAGAAUUCAGUGAAUCAUCGAAUCUUUGAACGCACAUUGCGCCCGCCAGUAUUCUGGCGGGCAUGCCUGUUCGAGCGUCAUUUCAACCCUCAGGCCCCCAGUGCCUGGUGUUGGGGAUCGGCCCAGCCUUCUCGCAAGGCCGCCGGCCCCGAAAUCUAGUGGCGGUCUCGCUGUAGUCCUCCUCUGCGUAGUAGCACAACCUCGCAGUUGGAACGCGGCGGUGGCCAUGCCGUUAAACACCCCACUUCUGAAAGUUGACCUCGGAUCAGGUAGGAAUACCCGCUGAACUUAAGCAUAUCAAUAAGCCG